AGCACUUCCUCUUAUCUGGUCAAAUUUAAUGGAAUCUGGACUUGGCUAAAAAAAAUGGAAUAGUUUCACAUUUGAGUUCCAAAGAAGUCAUGGGAUAACAUUAUUGAGCAGGAAUAUGAAGAAUCAACAAUGCAAAAUACCCAAAGAAACUUCUGGAAAUGUCUGCCCUUAUGCACCCCAUUCCUUGCCAAAGAAGUUAACAUUAUAGUAUAUCAAUUUGUCUGCCACUUAUGGAUUUCCUUGCUGGCUAGGGCUCUCACCAGAGGGAUAGGAUAGUAAAGGGAAGGUAUAUUCACCUCAAAGUUCAUCAUUUUAAACUCAACUCUGAGUACUUUAUCAAUUAUUCUUAAGAACUAAACAUCUGACAUUUUUUCCUAAACUAACUAGAGUAAAAAUCUCUUUUCUUUCUUCCAGGAAAGUGCUAUUUUCACUGCAACAAAGAUUGUAAGGCAUCCUACAGGGCUGCUCUUUUGCAGAUCAUUUGAACAAAUGCUGAUUUCUAUAGUUAGAGCUAUAUAAACCAAACCAUGAAUCCUUAAUCUGCAUCGGCUGUCAACAAUCUGUGCUUUGGCAAAAUCCCUGCCAGUGCUUUCCCUACAGUAGCCUGAAUAAUCAAGGUUUGGUUGUAUUUUAAAUGACUAUGUAACCCAAGAGCAUCUCUAAUUACACAAUUGCUUAAAAUAAAUCUUUACUGCAAUACUGAAAGUUAUUAAUA
rnacentral:lncRNA from 1 species